UUAUUCUAUACAUCUAUAAUGUGUAUCAAUUGUUGUUGCUAAUUUGUCAAAUUAUUAAUGUUACAAUGUAAUCUAUAACUACUGAUUUAACGUAGGAUAGAGCAGUUUAGCAUUGAGUUAUAUGUUAUUAUUGUCUGUUAUUACAUAAAAAAAAUAGAUGUAAUGAUUUUAUAACAUUUGAAAAAAAAUUAUUGUUAAGGAAUUAAGAAAAAACAAUUACUAUUUGCAUUUGUGGCAUUAGUAGAUUAAAUCAAAAGAUUAAUAAAUUUAAAUUAUAAGAUGAUAUAUUGCAUUUUUAAAUAUUUUUAUUUUAGUAAUUCAAUAGAUGCAAGUUCAGGCUGUUUGAGAGAUCUGUUUCAUAAAUGCACCGAAUUGAAGAGAGUGAUUCUUACGACAAUACGUACAGUGUCUGAUUUUGAUCUGGUAACUAUUGCAAAUCACUUGAAAUAUUUAGAGCAACUUGAUCUAUUAGGUGUGAGAGAAA